rnacentral:lncRNA from 1 species
CCCAGAGUUGAGGAUGCGGUCCCAUCCACUGACCUCCACUAUGCCACCUCUGGUUCUGGCCUGCUCAGUGAUGUUGUUCCCUAGAGCCUUGGCUGCACCUGUCUGGGUCUGGGAAUCCAAGAUGGCCACCCAGUCUCCUCUGUUAGCCUCCUGCCAACCACCUGCAGGAAGAGGUUAGAAAAUAGAUUUUCCUGAUUUUUUUGUUGUCAAGUUCAUACAUUAUAAUGUGUGGUUUUGUAUGUAAACAUACAUUGUGUUGAUUUCAUUUUAUGAAGGAAGGGAAAAAAAUAGCCAGGCGCAUCACUAUUCCCAUUGAAGAUAUAUUACUGUAUGUAGGCUAUAUGUAUUACUAUUCCCAUUGAAGAUCUAUUACUGUAUGUAGGUUAUAUGUAUUUCUCCCUUACCUUGAUCCCCCAUCUUUAGUCCACUCAGCAGAUCAAUGCUCUCUGGUCUGUCUUCUAUUGCCUCCUCUUUGACCAGCAGCAGAUCAGGCUUCCCAUCCUCCAUGUCUACUGACUGUAAGAGAUACAGAGUGAGAGGAUGUUGGAUCAAGAAAUCUGAUAUGAGCACACUACUAUGGAAUAUCUUUUGAUUGGCUGGUUCCUCUGUGGGUUCUGGAGGAGUUUUUGUCUGGUUGUCCUCCAUGACCAUGGUUGCCUCAGGGUUCGCCAGACCCUCCUCACACCCCUCCUCCUUCACCAGCAGCACCUCCAGACCCUCCUCCUCCUGGAAGAGACAAGUGAUACAGAUUACACAGACAUACACUCCCUCAGUGGAACGACCCCCAUGUCACCCCGCUCCUCUGCACACUCCACUGGCUUCCAGUCAAAGCUCCCAUCCACUACAAGACCAUGGUGCUUGCCGACAGAGCAGCAAGGGGAACUGCCCCUCCCUACCUUCAGGCCAUGCUCAAACCCUACACCCCACCUGAGCACUCAAGUUCUGCCACUGGUCUCUUGGCCGUCCCACCACAAUGGGGGAUCAGAUCCCACUCAGCCCAGUCAACGAUCUUCUCUGUCCUGACACCCCAAUGGUGGUACCAGCUUCCCCCUGAGUCCCUGCUCAGCUUACAAAAACGUCUGAAACCCUACCACUCGAAAGAGUAUCUUAAAUGAAUCCCAUUAAAU